rnacentral:lncRNA from 1 species
UCCUUGGCAAAAUUAAUGGAAUGUUUGCCUUCUCCAUCUCCUUUUAUAGAUGUGGAAAAUGAGGCAGAGUGAAGAGACCCAGCCAGUCACACAGCUACUAAGUGUCUGAGAUCCCAUUUGAACUCAGGGAGAUGAGUUCCUGACUCCAGGGCAGAUACUCUACUGUGCCACUCCUAAGAGCCCAGUGAGAUAACAUGAAUAGCUCUGCAGAUUCCAGAUAUUCUGGAAUUCACUGACAACAUGUCUGGACCUCAGUUUCCUCAAACAUAGAAUAAGGAAUUUGGACUAGAUCAGGUGCUGUGGAGCAUAAUGAAUAGUGUUAAGUAUGGAGUCAGAGAAACUUUGAACGUUAGAUAUGGAAACUGGAACAGAAAACAUUUAAGUGACUUUCCCAGCUGAGACAGAAUUGGAACUCAAGUUUUUCUGACGCCAAGGAUAAUAUUACAUCCAAGUCAAUACUGUUUUUGCAAGGAAAAAAAAAUAAACAACAAACUCAUACAGGAGAUAAAAUGAAG